rnacentral:rRNA from 1 species
GUGACGUUACCAAACUGUUGCCUCGGCGGGAUCUCUGCCCCGGGUGCGUCGCAGCCCCGGACCAAGGCGCCCGCCGGAGGACCAACCAAAACUCUUAUUGUAUACCCCCUCGCGGGUUUUUUUAUAAUCUGAGCCUUCUCGGCGCCUCUCGUAGGCGUUUCGAAAAUGAAUCAAAACUUUCAACAACGGAUCUCUUGGUUCUGGCAUCGAUGAAGAACGCAGCGAAAUGCGAUAAGUAAUGUGAAUUGCAGAAUUCAGUGAAUCAUCGAAUCUUUGAACGCACAUUGCGCCCGCCAGUAUUCUGGCGGGCAUGCCUGUCCGAGCGUCAUUUCAACCCUCGAACCCCUCCGGGGGGUCGGCGUUGGGGAUCGGCCCUCCCUUAGCGGGUGGCCGUCUCCGAAAUACAGUGGCGGUCUCGCCGCAGCCUCUCCUGCGCAGUAGUUUGCACACUCGCAUCGGGAGCGCGGCGCGUCCACAGCCGUUAAACACCCAACUUCUGAAAUGUUGACCUCGGAUCAGGUAGGAAUACCCGCUGAACUUAAGCAUAUCAAAAGCCGGAGGAA